AAAUAUAAGGACUUCGCAGGAGGUGACCCAUGCUUGUACUACUCUCGCCCAAGCACCCUGAACUUACGGAGUAUCGAUAGAAUCCGUUGCAUUAGUGCUGGUAUGAUGGCACCUGUUUCUUUCGUGCUGAAAAUACAUACACUCAUUCUCCUUCCCUCCCCCUCCCAUCAAUUGUUUCCUCGUGCGUUCACACUGCACCUCUCCUUCUCGUUCUAAUAUCGAUUAAAAUGCCCCUGCUUCUUGACUCACAUUUGCGUAUAAACUAAUGUACCCUAGUUCCAGUCGCGCGUAACGUCGAACGACCCGUCUGAAAAAAAAUUGGUGCGACCCGAGGACUUCCAAGGAGGUCACCCAUCCGAGUACUACUCUCGCCCGAGCACACUUAACUGCGGAGUUCUGAUGGAAUCCGGUGCAUUAGUGUUGGUAUGAUCGCACCCGUUUAAUUCCGCGCUGCAAAUACAUAAACUCCUUCUCCUUUCUUCCCCCUCCCGUCAUUUGUUUCCUUGUGCGUGCGCACUGCACCUCUCGUUCUCGUUCAAAUAUCAAGUAAAAUGCUACGGCGCCGUGACUCACAUUUGCGAAUAAAUCUGCGGACCGUAAUUAAAGUCGCGGGUAACGUCGAACGGAACAUCUGAAAAAAAAAGAGUGGGACAACACGACAACUUCCCAGGAGGUAACCCAUCAUUGGACUACUUUCGACAAAGCACACUUAACUGCGGAUCUCUGAUGGGAUCUGAUGCAUUAGUGCUUGUGUGACCGCACCUGUUUAAUUUCGUGCUGAAAAUACAUACACUCCUUCUUCCCCAUCCCCCUCCCAUCAUUUGUUUCCUUGUGCGUUCACACUGCACCUCUCCUUCUCGUUCGAAUAUCGAUUAAAAUGCCCCUGAUUCUUGACUCACAUUUGCGUAUAAACCAGCGGACCAUAGUUCCAGUCGCACGUAAUGUCGAACGACCCAUCUAAAAAAUAAUUAUUGCGUUACGAGGACUUCCCAAGAGGUCACCCAUCCGAGUACUACUCUCGCCCAAGCACCCUUAACUGUAGAGUUCUGAUGGGAUCCAGUACAUUAGUGCUGGUAUGAUGCCACUUGUUUAAUUUUGCGCUUCAAAUACAUACACUCCUUCUCUUUUCUUCCUCCUCCUGUCAUUUGUUUCCUUGUACGUGUGCACUGCACCUCCCGUACUCGUUCUAAUAUCAAGUAAAAUGCCACGGCGCCGUGACUCACAUUUGCGAAUAAACUUGCGGACCAUAAAUCAAGUCACGCGUAACGUCGAAAGAAUCAUCUGCAAAAAGAUGGGUGCAACACGAGGACCUCCCAAGAAAAUGGGUGAAAUAUAAGGACUUCGCAGAAGGUCACCCAUCCGAGUACUUUUCUCGCCCAAGCACCCUUAACUGCGGAGUUCUAAUAGAAUCCGUUGCAUUAGUGCUGGUAUGAUCCCUCAUGUUUCAUUCUGCACUGCAAAUACAAACACUCUUUCUCCUCCCAUCCCCCCACCCGUCAUUUGUUUUCUUGUGCGUGCACUCUGCACCUCUCUUUCUCGU
rnacentral:lncRNA from 1 species